UCACUUUAGUAGUGUAUCUAAUAAAAACUUGAAAUGAUUCAGAGAAGAUUAACAUGGCCCCUGCAUAAGGAUGAUAUGCAAAUUAAUAAAGUGUUCCGUAGUUUU